UGUACUAGACACACACGCGCCUUCAGAGCGAAACGGAUGCAAAACUAUGUCAGUCUGUUUCGGCCGUUUGUGAAGUUUUUCGAUAGUGUUUUUCUCGAACAAAAAAACAACGUAACAGUUUGUGUUUAGAAUCAAUUUGUGGCGUUUUUUAACGUAAAGAGAACAAAGUCUGACGAUAGGCGACAAAGUCGUAGAUGUCGACGUCCACCCAGUGACUGUUUUUUUUGUGGUUCAGUCUUUGCUGUCGACCCCAUUCUAAGUGUUUACUUUGUAUCAGGCUAUCUACGUCAACUCAGCUUGUGGACUGGGACAGCGCACAGCGCAAGAAUUCAUCACCCAACGCAGGCAAUGGCUCUAAAACCUCAUUUAAUUUCGAAUGACUAUUUCACCAACCACCGGCACACAUCUGGCACGACAGCUUAAACAGUGACGACACCGAACGGCACCGUAAACCACCUGGUGAGUUCCGGGUUCCGGUGUGACAAGGCAUUUUUUUGCAUUUGCAUUUGCCGGAUGGAAGAGACGAACUUUAUUCCUGCUGGCCUGGCCGAACCACCUACGUAGGUGCAAAGCGCAAAACAACCGUCAGCCGGUGAAAAAACACAGCACCGAAAACAUCAAAGCGUUAUAAUUGUGUUUUGCACAUAAAUUAAUUAUGAAUGAACAAGGAAAAGUUUUUGAGGGGGUGUUUAUUCUUGCAACGAGACUUUCAUUGCACUGGAGAGAAGAAAAAACACCUCGGAGCGCAGCAGAAAGUGAGUUGUUGUAUGGUAACAUUUUAGAGCUGAAAGCGCUUUCUAUUAUUCUGAUUUUUUGGUGCAUUAAAACGUAAUUUGUUUAUUUAGCUUUGACGGCGGGCAACUUCAUGCUUAAAUGAUUUUCCUAGACACAGACGUUGAAGUCUUGAAGUUUGUAGAAUGCGGUUUAUAAUCAUUUGUACUAAGAGAGUUUAGUAAGAGCUACAUAGUAUUUAGAUAUUGGUAGUCUCUUUCAAUAAUGGCCUUAAUCUCCUAAUGUCUUGAUAACGUAGAAUUUAUAAAAUUCUCGUAGAAUAAGGUAGAAUUUAUAAAAUUUUAAGGUGCAAAAGUGCAGCAGACCUUGAAAAUAUGCACCGCAACGACAUUUCGCUGGUAGAAUGUUGGGAAGCGCAGGAAGAUGUUCGCUUCAUUCCACCCAGUAAUAGUAGGUCAUUAAUUUCCUGUCAGUAUUUGCUCCAGCAAGCAUUUUCAGUUUGCAGUUUUUACACCACCUCACACCGCUAUGGUGUCAAGGUAAAACAGAGCAAAUGGAAAGCUGCGGUACUUGUCACAUUUGUCUGAGUUGUCCCCGAACGAAUCGUUCUUGCACUUACUCCAGUGAGAUGCUCGAGCAGUAACGUAAGUAACGGCGUAGGUCGCACAGUUGUACUGAAGCGCCUGAAGCAUCGGUCAACAUCAAUAAAGCAAUCGUUGUUCCAAGAAAGCGGACAAUUAUUUAGCAAACAUCCACUCAAGAGUUUCAAGGUUCCGGUGGGAAGCGCUAGGACGCUCUAGGACGCUUUUUCCAGUGAUGCCAGUUUCGUUUGGAUGAUUCAAUCAGAACUACGGAGUGAAUGUGAAGCAAGACAAUAAAAGAAUCUUCACAACAACCGGAUGCCCUGCCCUGUCCUAUUUUAGGCUAACCCAGCAGGAUUUCUUUCACCUCCCGCAUCUCAUCCCACGGAGCAGGAAUUUCGCUUUUCUUUCCACAUAGCAGGAAGUUUGUAUCGUUCUAGCCUCCUGUGGUUCCCUCACAUUUUAUCCCUGAUGGACAUCGCGCUAUCGGACAUCGUACCGCCCAGCUAGUGACAGUUUAAGCUGCUCAGUACCGCGCCGUGCGGGCCAGAAGCUUUGCCAGACAGGCUGCAAAUUUGUUACACGACCCGGCACUCUCUAAUGGGCCUGGACCACGCAGAGCUGGGCAAUGACUGCCGACUACAGACUCCAGUUGCCAGUUGCGAUGGGCAGGCGGAGGAGCAUUCAUUAAUCAAACAGUGUCCAUUAAUAAACGGGAUUUGCGAUGUGAUGUUGUUUUCCGCCAGUGGGAAUUGGGAGGAUCGCCGUUGUUCCGGAAGCAAAAAAGAAAGCGCAUGUCGCUUUUGGGGCGCCUGCCCAUUAAGCGACGUUUUCCUGUGUCUGUAUCUUGUAAUACACUACAAGGCUUCAAGGCGUUUAUCUGCAAAAUAAUGUUUGUUUAAUACACUAUUUAAGCCACCAUUUUAGAAAUGCUCAGGCCCUAUCUCAUGCUUAUAAAUAAAAGGUUUAACAAUAUCAAACUGGCAUCAAUAAGCGAUUAGACAAUCAUCGCCAGGUCCUGAGUGAGCAUAAUGCCGAUGGAUAUGCAAUCGAUGCCGUAGCGGAAGUUUAAACAAACGAUCAAACUAUUAACGAUGUCGAACGGAGCGAAACCAUCUGGCGGAGCAGUAAACUUCAUGGAAAACACAUUAUCCUCAUCGUAAGCGCCAGUGUUAAAACUUCAUCCUCAGUAAGUAAUCGCUUCGGGUAAACGCUUGCAGGAGCUGCAGUCAGCUAUCUGCUUUGUCGGUUAGCUAUGGGGCUUUCGGGUUUGAAAUGCUUGACUCUCGUAUAAAAUAUUUGUAGAAUAAAAAAAUGAAUGAGAAGCAAUAAAUGCUUGUGGAGGAUUUGAAGCGAUGAAAACCAAUAUGGUUUGAGCA